UACGUAGGGGGCUAGCGUUGUCCGGAAUCAUUGGGCGUAAAGCGCGCGUAGGCGGCCCUGUUAGUCCGCUGUAAAAGUCAAAGGCUCAACCUUUGAAUGCCGGUGGAUACUGCAGGGCUAGAGUCCGGAAGAGGCGAGUGGAAUUCCUGGUGUAGCGGUGAAAUGCGCAGAUAUCAGGAAGAACACCCGUGGCUAAGGCGGCUCUCUAGUACGGUACUGACGCUGAGACGCGAAAGCGUGGGGAGCGAACAGG
rnacentral:rRNA from 1 species